rnacentral:rRNA from 1 species
GAUGAACGCUGGCGGCGUGCCUAAUACAUGCAAGUCGAGCGAACGGACGAGAAGCUUGCUUCUCUGAUGUUAGCGGCGGACGGGUGAGUAACACGUGGAUAACCUACCUAUAAGACUGGGAUAACUUCGGGAAACCGGAGCUAAUACCGGAUAAUAUUUUGAACCGCAUGGUUCAAAAGUGAAAGACGGUCUUGCUGUCACUUAUAGAUGGAUCCGCGCUGCAUUAGCUAGUUGGUAAGGUAACGGCUUACCAAGGCAACGAUGCAUAGCCGACCCGAGAGGGUGAUCGGCCACACUGGAACUGAGACACGGUCCAGACUCCUACGGGAGGCAGCAGUAGGGAAUCUUCCGCAGUGGGCGAAAGCCUGACGGAGCAACGCCGCGUGAGUGAUGAAGGUCUUCGGAUCGUAAAACUCUGUUAUUAGGGAAGAACAGAUGUGUAAGUAACUGUGCACAUCUUGACGGUACCUAAUCAGAAAGCCACGGCUAACUACGUG